GCCACCUUAGCUCAGCUGGUAGAGCAGCUCAUUCGUAAUGAGCAGGUCGUUGGUUCGAAUCCGACAGGUGGCUCGA
rnacentral:tRNA from 1 species